rnacentral:lncRNA from 1 species
UUUUAACUCUCUUUUUCUUUAAUUCAAUUAGCUCAGGUGUUAUCUUAAAUAGAUUUGAUUCUUUUUAAGGUUUUGUGUUUUAUUUCAAGAUGUAUGAAAAAUAUUGACCCUCAUUUUCCCCUUAUCUUGAAAAUUGUUCGAAGAUUGUUUAAGAAUUUUGAGAUAAACACACAGAAUGAGCCAAGCUAUUGUUCAAAUCCCUCUGCCUGUUAACAUUUAUGUGAUAAUAAAUACCCUUGAGGAUUUCCUUUGUUAAUAUACCAGAAUGGGG